CUCGUGUUGCAUCCAUUUUUUUGGCAAAAUUUGUAUCCUACUUCUUUUAAUAUAUCGACGGUAAAGCCAAUAAAUUCAAAAUGACUUUUACGCAUUGUAAACGAUGUUUUUUUUACAUGAAUGAUAAAAAAAAAAAUUAAAGAGGAUCGUCGGCCAAAUACGAUUUGAUAAUAAAAAUAAAGAAAAUAUUUAAAAAUUACGAUUAUCAACCACGACCUUAUGGGCUUUGCACCGUUGCACUUGACAUGUCACUACGCCUUGGUCUGGAAGGCGGCAUCCGUAAAAAUACAUAAAAUCAAAAGAGGAAUCGCGUAAAACGGAUAAAUGAGCGUAAAGUUAUGUCGUUUUAAGGAUUCACACUUUCGCACCUAGAGCGGAAGGAGGAAGGGUAAUAAGAAAAUUUAGAGUGCAAGGAAUGUCGGAUGCGAUCAUACCAGCACUAACGCACCGGAUCCCAUCAGAACUCCGAAGUCAAGCGUGCUUGGGCUAGAGUAGUACUAGGAUGGGUGACCCCUUUGGAAGUCCUCGUGUUGCAUCCCUUUUUUGGCAAAAUUUGUAUCCUACUUCUUUUAAUAUAUCGACGGUAAAGCCAAUAAAUUCAAAAAUGACUUUUACACAUCGUAAACGAUAUUUUGUUUACAUGAAUGAUAAAAAAAAAUUAAAGAGGAUCGCCAGCCAAAUACGAUUUGAUAAUAAAAAUAAAGAAAAUAUUUAAAAAUUACGAUUAUCAACCACGACCUUACGGGCUUAGCACCGUUGCACUUGACAUGUCACUACGCCUUGGCCUCGAAGGCGGCAUCCGUAAAACGUCGAGUUGCGAUGUCGUCGUUCCAUGCGGCCCAGUUUAAUAGGCAUGG
rnacentral:lncRNA from 1 species